GACGAACGCUGGCGGCGUGCUUAACACAUGCAAGUCGAACGGAAAGGCCCUGCUUUUGUGGCGUGCUCGUGUGGCCCACCAUCGAUUCACAACUCAGUAACCUGCCCUUGACUUUGGGAUAACUUCAGGAAACUGGGGCCAAUACCGCACAAGCGCUCCUGCUGCAUGGUUGGGGUUGGAAAGGUUCGGCGGCUGGGGAUGGACUCGCGGCUUAUCAGCUUGUUGGUGGGGUAGUGGCGUACCACGGCUUUGACGGGUAGCCGGCCUGAGCGGGUGACAGGCCACAUUGGGGCCGUGAUCCGGCCGGUACUCCUACGGGAGGCCGCAGUGGCGGAUAGGGCACUAUGGCCGCAAGCCUGAUGCAGUAGGGCCGCGUGGGUGAGGACGGCCUACGGGUGGAAAACCCAUCUGGCCUUGGGUGAAGCUGGUGUGACGGUAAUGGGUAAGGAAGCGCCGGCUAACUACUCC
rnacentral:rRNA from 1 species